UCCUGUCCCUGUUUCAGUUGGCCACAACCACAAGUGACGGAUGCAGAGGAGGCCAUCCCUCAGACACUUGCAGCAGAGACCCUUUCCUCUUUGAUGGAUUCAGAGGUCGGUUGCUGUCCCACGGAGGCUGAUCCUAGGCCCAGUUCAGGCAGGGUGUCAGAACCUCAGUGGAGAACCUCUGAUGAUCAGACAUUUCAUGAACGUCAACUUAACUGCUGCCCG